rnacentral:rRNA from 1 species
GGCGAACGCUGGCGGCGUGCUUAACACAUGCAAGUCGAACGGAAAGGCCCUGCUUUUGUGGGGUGCUCGAGUGGCGAACGGGUGAGUAACACGUGAGUAACCUGCCCUUGACUUUGGGAUAACUUCAGGAAACUGGGGCUAAUACCGGAUAGGAGCUCCUGCUGCAUGGUGGGGGUUGGAAAGUUUCGGCGGUUGGGGAUGGACUCGCGGCUUAUCAGCUUGUUGGUGGGGGAGUGGCUUACCAAGGCUUUGACGGGUAGCCGGCCUGAGAGGGUGACCGGCCACAUUGGGACUGAGAUACGGCCCAGACUCCUACGGGAGGCAGCAGUGGGGAAUAUUGCACAAUGGGCGGAAGCCUGAUGCAGCAACGCCGCGUGCGGGAUGACGGCCUUCGGGUUGUAAACCGCUUUCGCCUGUGACGAAGCGUGAGUGACGGUAAUGGGUAAAGAAGCACCGGCUAACUACGUG